rnacentral:rRNA from 1 species
AGUGAACGCUGGCGGUAGGCCUAACACAUGCAAGUCGAACGGCAGCACAGUAAGAGCUUGCUCUUACGGGUGGCGAGUGGCGGACGGGUGAGGAAUACAUCGGAAUCUACUUUUUCGUGGGGGAUAACGUAGGGAAACUUACGCUAAUACCGCAUACGACCUACGGGUGAAAGCAGGGGAUCUUCGGACCUUGCGCGAUUGAAUGAGCCGAUGUCGGAUUAGCUAGUUGGCGGGGUAAAGGCCCACCAAGGCGACGAUCCGUAGCUGGUCUGAGAGGAUGAUCAGCCACACUGGAACUUAGACACGAUCCAGACUCCUACGGUAGGCAGCAGUGGGGAAUAUUAGACAAUGGGCGCAAGCCUGGUCCAGCCAUACCGCGUGGGUGAAGAAGGCCUUCGGGUUGUAAAGCCCUUUUGUUGGGAAAGAAAAGCAGCAGGUUAAUACCCCGCUGUUCUGACGGUACCCAAAGAAUAAGCACCGGCUAACUUCGUG